rnacentral:rRNA from 1 species
AUGCCUUACACAUGCAAGUCGAACGGUAACAGGUCUUCUGAUGCUGACGAGUGGCGAACGGGUGAGUAAUACAUCGGAACGUGCCCAGUAAUGGGGGAUAGCUCGGCGAAAGCCGGAUUAAUACCGCAUACGCCCUGAGGGGGAAAGUGGGGGAUCGCAAGACCUCACGUUAUUGGAGCGGCCGAUGGCUGAUUAGCUAGUUGGUAGGGUAAAGGCCUACCAAGGCGACGAUCAGUAGCUGGUCUGAGAGGACGAUCAGCCACACUGGGACUGAGACACGGCCCACACUCCUACGGGAGGCAGCAGUGGGGAAUUUUGGACAAUGGGGGAAACCCUGAUCCAGCAAUGCCGCGUGUGCGAAGAAGGCCUUCGGGUUGUAAAGCACUUUUGUCAGGGAAGAAAUCCUUUGGGCUAAUACCCUAGGGGGAUGACGGUACCUGAAGAAUAAGCACCGGCUAACUACGUGCCAGCAGCCGCGGUAAUACGUAGGGUGCAAGCGUUAAUCGGAAUUACUGGGCGUAAAGCGUGCGCAGGCGGUUGUGUAAGACAGGUGUGAAAUCCCCGGGCUUAACCUGUGAAUUGCAUUUGUGACUGCACGACUAGAGUGUGUCAGAGGGGGGUGGAAUUCCACGUGUAUCAGUGAAAUGCGUAGAUAUGUGGAGGAACUCCAAUGGCGAAGGCGGCCCCCUGGGAUAACAACUGACGCUCAUGCACCAA